UUGGGGCCAAUUAAUACACUGUAAAACACUUUCCCAUUUCAUUUAGCCCUAACGCUCUCUCCUCUUCCAUCACCGAUCUCGCCCUUCCAUCACUGAUCUCGCCCUUCCAUCACUGGUCAUCGUAGCUCUCUGUCCUUCCAUCACUGGUCAUUACAACAAUCUUAUAAUCCAUUUUGUUUUUACUUUGAUUCUCUUGUGCUCCGUUUGGUUGCUGAGGAAACACCCAGAAAUGGAAAGAAAAUGAAGAACGACUGAAGCAUAAGAAUGAAUUUUUUUUUUCCUUUUCAUCUCCUCAGUUUUCGUGGCAACAAUAGCGAGCAGUAGAAUGAUUUCCGUAGCAAACUCUCUCUUCGUUGAUCUCCAUAUAUCUAUAUAGUUAGUAUUUUAAUCAUUUUUUUACCUAAAUCUAUACAUAUGUGUAUGUGUUUUUAUGUAUUAAUCUGUUGUUUAAUCGAUUCCUGAAUUUUUUUUUUUUUUCAUUUGAUGAAUACAUGACUCAUCUUUGCGAUUUUGAUGUUAGAGUUGGGCCAUAGGAGUUCAAUUUUUGAAGAGGAUGCCUAUGAACAGGAUAGGGAUUUCAAUUUUGUUGAUGUAUUUACGAAAUUAGGGUUAGGGCUUUGAUGUGUAGUACAAAAUUGGGGUUAGGGUGGGGCGGCGAUGCCAUUGAACCAGGUGUGGCAAGGCAUGAGUUUCAGUGAAGCUCUAGUAUUCCGACAAGGUAUGAGUUUCAGACAGAGCAACGGUGGCACCAGAGGAGACUCGAGGAUUAAGAAGAGAAAUGGAAGAGCUCUGAAUUCAAUUCUUGAUGGAGGAGAAGGCUAAUGCAAUUCAACAAAGUAACAGGCUUCGUCAGGAACUGGUGAGGGAUUCAUAUGACUUCAUUCUAUACUAUUUUAUAUUCUUCUUUAUUAUUUUUCUUAUAAUUACAUCACGCAUUCAUUAGUUUAUAAGCUGGAAUACUUCUAAUGUCCUUUCAACAUGGUAUCUUUGUCUUCCCUGCCUUAUGUCCAACUUAUUUUUUUAGUGUUUUGAUCAUGUAUAUCUUUAUAUGAAUAUAUAUCUAUAUCUAUGUGUGUGUGUGUGUGUGUGUGUGUAUUUUUGGUGUCAGUGAUUUAGCAAAAGGGCAUAAGGCUAGAAAUAUGUAAGUUACAUUCUAUAAAGAAUCAUUGUAUGGGAUAAAGCAAUGUUUAGGAAUACCAUUAGAGGACCAAACAGCUCUAUAAUAGUCCCAAAGCCUAUGGUGUUUUCUGAACGUUAAUGGCAGUAAUUUGAGGAAAGAAAGCUUCCUAAACUCAUCUUUCUCAUAUUGGACUCCCGACGGUGUCGAUUAUUCCGUAAGCGACCAGCGAAGAGGUUAGGGUUUUCAACCAGCGACCAUAAAUUGAAGUUGAAUCAAGCCACCAUGGACGACGUCCUCUAAAGUGGGUGCAAAAAGAGGACUAAGAGAGAGGAAUUGUAUUGAUGCUAACACAAGCUUGGUUGUAUGGCCUAAGAAAUAUGUGAAAAUUAUACAGACAGGAUUGAUUAUCACCAGUUCAUUAGGAGCAGAAGAAUCAGAAUUUCUAUGAUUCCAUUCUAUAACAAAGCUACUUCCUUGGAUUUUGUAUAGUAAGCUGGUUUUUUGACAAGUGCAGACUGAACUUCAAAACUGAACUUCAAGUGCUAGAAGGUUUAUCAAUUUUUCAACAGAAGUGUUAGGAAAUUGAUGCUUUUCUUGACAAAUGGAUUUACUUCCUGUUUUGGAACAUUUUGGAACAUCGAUAAAUGUUGAAUUGUUUUGGAACAUUGAUAAAUGAUGAAUUGUAAAAAUGUUUUAACUCUUUUGAUAUGUUUAAUGGGAUAUAUUUUUUGAAUUGAAUAUAGCUGAAAGUGAUAUGAAUUACAGGUA